rnacentral:rRNA from 1 species
GUGCCAGCAGCCGCGGUAAUACAGAGGUGGCAAGCGUUGUUCGGAAUUACUGGGCGUAAAGGGCGCGUAGGCGGUUUUGUAAGUCCCGCGUGAAAUCCCCCGGCUCAACUGGGGAACUGCGCGGGAAACUGCAAGGCUUGAGUUCGGGAGAGGGAAGCGGAAUUCCGGGUGUAGCGGUGAAAUGCGUAGAUAUCCGGAGGAACACCGGUGGCGAAGGCGGCUUCCUGGACCGACACUGACGCUGAGGCGCGAAAGCUAGGGGAGCAAACGGGAUUAGAAACCCCCGUAGUCC